AUACGGAGGGUGCGAGCGUUAAUCGGAAUUACUGGGCGUAAAGCGCGCGUAGGUGGACUGUUAAGUCAGAUGUGAAAGCCCUGGGCUCAACCUGGGAACUGCAUUUGAUACUGGCAGUCUAGAGUAUGGUAGAGGGUAGUGGAAUUCUCGGUGUAGCGGUGAAAUGCGUAGAUAUCGGGAGGAACACCAGUGGCGAAGGCGACUACCUGGCCCAAUACUGACACUGAGGCGCGAAAGCGUGGGUAGCGAACAGGAUUAGAAACCCCGGUAGUCC
rnacentral:rRNA from 1 species